ACGAACGCUGGCGGCAGGCUUAAUACAUGCAAGUCGAACGGCUGUAGCAAUACAGCAGUGGCAGACGGGUGAGUAACACGUGGGAACCUACCUAGGGGUACGGAAUAACUCAGGGAAACUUGAGCUAAUACCGUAUACGACCUUCGGGUGAAAGAUUUAUCGCCCCUAGAUGGGCCCGCGUUGGAUUAGCUAGUUGGUGGGGUAAAGGCUCACCAAGGCGACGAUCCAUAGCUGGUCUGAGAGGAUGAUCAGCCACACUGGGACUGAGACACGGCCCAGACUCCUACGGGAGGCAGCAGUAGGGAAUCUUGGACAAUGGGCGAAAGCCUGAUCCAGCCAUGCCGCGUGAGUGAUGAAGGCCUUAGGGUUGUAAAGCUCUUUCGCCAGGGAAGAUAAUGACGGUACCUGGAUAAGAAGCCCCGGCUAACUCCGU
rnacentral:rRNA from 1 species